UACGUAGGGUGCGAGCGUUAAUCGGAAUUACUGGGCGUAAAGCGUGCGCAGGCGGUUUUGUAAGCCAGAUGUGAAAUCCCCGGGCUUAACCUGGGAAUGGCAUUUGGGACUGCAAGGCUUGAGUGCGGCAGAGGAGACUGGAAUUCCUGGUGUAGCAGUGAAAUGCGUGGAGAUCAAGAGGAACACUCGUGGCGAAAGCGAGCUACUGGACAAUAUCUGACGCUGAGGCUCGAAGGCCAGGGUAGCGAAAGGG
rnacentral:rRNA from 1 species